ACGGCCGCAUCACGUUGAAGCACCGGUUCCGUACGAUCAUUGAAGUUAAGCAACGUUGACCCUGUACAGCACCUAGAUGGGUGACCGUUCGGGAAUACCAGGUACUGUAAG